UAAAGGGGACCUAUUAUGCAAAAUGCACUUUUCCAUGGUUUUCUAUCAGUAGUAUGUGUCCCUGGCGUGUCUACGGACCCCCCAAACAUGAGAAAAGUCCAUCCUCUCCGUCUUUUGCUUUCUCCACCUUUCAAGAAAUGUGUGCUCAAACGAGCGGAUUGGAGAUUCGCCCCUGGUGACGUCAAGAAGGGCGAUGCCCCUCCCCCCGGAUGGGUGACGCUCCCCGAGCUAGGUGUGUGUUCCGCCCUCUGAGUCCGUGUUGCAGACCGUAUCGUUACUUCCCUCGCGAACACCGGCUUUCGGUAGAACAAUGUCGAAGGUACAGCGAAACACAGUAGUUGCUUUGUUGUUGGCUGCACAAACCAACACAGAUGUCUUUUUUAACCCCUACGCCCGAGGAUCUGAAGACCCAGUGGAUUAAUUUUAUUUUUGAUGGAAAUGUUCCCGCUCCAACUCCGAAAGUGUUGUACUGUGUGCUAACCAUUUCACCUCGGACUGCUUUCUCAACGAGGGCCAGGACAACGCAGGAUUUCCUACAAGUCUCAAGAUAAAGCUUGGAUCAGUACCGACUGUCUGUGACCCAACUUUGAACUUCGGAGCUGCCAUCUAUACAGCUUCCUGCAACAGGGGAUGUUGCAUGCCAGACUGACCCACUGCAGGCACACAGUUAUCCUUGAAGAUCUUCAGCCUCACAUCAGAAGUACAGGGAAUGUGGUGGACCUCAUAUUUGAAAAAGUCUUUGUGACCUGGGACCAUACACAGAAGCUGCUUUGGCCAUCCCCAUCCCAGAGGACCUCACUGCACAGUUCGAGCGGCCUGAGAAGGAGGAGGUCAUAUCCAGCUCUGUGUCCCGGUUCUAUCAUGGGGCAGUCUAAAACCCACGUACCGGCCUGUGGCGUCAGGAAACACGGCAUGGAUGCGUAGGACCACGCAGGCUGGAAUGACGAUCCAGAUUCUGCAACCAAGGAAGCCCCAGCUCACAAAGCUCCUAUAGGCUAGAUACCUGUACUGACUGAAACAACUGGACAGGGCAUUUAGUCUUGCAAACAUAUAUCUAUGUUGUGUCUCACAAUUUUUUAUAUGGAUCCAGUGAAUCCUACAGUUUUUUUAUCAUCACUGAUUAUAACUGCCUCAUUUGAUGUAAAUAAAUGCUUGAUUGUUACUAAAGAA